AAGUCGCUUAGUCGUGUCUGACUCUUAGCGAUCCCACGGACUGCAGCCCACCAGGCUCCUCCGUGCGUGGGAUUUUCCAAGCAAGAGUACUGGAGUGGGGUGCCAUCGCCUUCUCCGACAUAGACUUGGCCCAGAGCAAAUAAUGUCACCCCACCUGGAGCAAAAUAAUGUCAUCCCACCCCAGAGCAUAUAAUGUCACCCUACCUAGAGAUGAGAUGACCCACCUUUUGUACUCUCACUGAGCCACUGAAUGCAGGCUGACCCAGGAAGGCCAUGAUCUUGGUCAAAGCAGCUCCCUGCCCCCAGACAGCAAAGUUCUUCCAUGAAGUGGGGAUCGGGUUAUGGAACCCCAUGUCUAUGCCAACAAUGGAGAUAGGAAAUUCAAACAACAUAGGGAGAAAGUAGUGUUUCUUUUUAUCACAAUUAAAAAAAGCAGGAGGCAAAUUCCAAGAUGAAACAACAUAGGGAGAAAGUAGUGUUUCUACUUUUGAGGAUGUUGUCUGUGAUCCCUGAAGGAAAAAUAUAGGAUGCAUAAUUCAGUGAAAAUUCCAGCACACUGUAAAUAGAAUUCAAGAGUAUUUAGCACUAAUUUUAGCUUGAAAAAUAUGUGCUCCUUAGUUUCACACACACACAUACACACACACAAAUUAUCUUUUAACAUGACUGAAAGAUCAAAAAUAGAUUAUAGGGGAAUAAGUACCAGGCAUGUCAUUAUUUAUGCUUUGUAAUUUCUAUACUGUUGAGUUUGUUCAUAAUAUUAUCAGUUUUUUGGUUUUCUUCCAGGAUUAUUGCCUUUUUAUGUUAUUUUGUGCAUUUAUAAAUACAGAGUCUCUAAUCCAAAAUAUCCUAAUAACAUACAAUUUGAAGCUUUAAAAUGUUCCUAAACGGUGAUUUACUUCAUAUCAUUUUUCACUUUCACAUAGAACAGCUUUUUUUUUCAUAUCUUCAGCCAGAAUAUUUUGAGGCUUCUUAAGACCUCACUUGCUCUCUGCAGGAACUUAGACAAAUUAUUUAUUCCUUCUAAACCUUGGCUGCCUCAUUUGUAAAGUGGCUAUAUGAUGGCAUUUACUUCACAGGAUUCUUGUGAGCAUAAAAUGAUUUACUAUGUUAAUAUAUAUAUGUUUGUGGCAGUGGCUGGGACAUAAAAACAAGUCAACUUAGUCUAACACUGGUAAUCAUUCUUUCAUUAGUAAAAAUCAGCCAUUACCAUAUGGAACACCUUUGCAAAAUAUAUUUGUUGAAAGGUAACAAUUUAGUAACUGAAAUAAAAUUUCUGACCCUAGGGGUCAGCCUCCAGGACUUUUCUAAAUCCGUCACAAGGUGGCCCCAAAUCCAUAUCCCUUCAGGGCUCUGUAGUCAUAGAAAAUGAAUCAAACAGUAAGAAUUUACUACAGCAAAAAUUUAUGAUAAUAAUAAUAAUUGAAAGUGUAGGUGGUUUCCUUAAUAAUCAAUUGCCCACUGGUUGGAAGAAGAUAGAAAAGCAAGCCUCAUAUGUUUGAAAUGGUCAAGAAGGCUGUUAAAUGUGUCUAUAUAUUUUUCUUCAAGGCUAGUCUCAAUAAAAGUGGUUAAUGAAUUAUACUUGACAUUGAACACUUCAAAUAGUGCAUGGCCUAGCCUGCUUGGAUGAGAAAAUCUCUAAUCUUUACUUUUUUCCUCUUCUAUAAGUUGGUUAGUUAGCAAUUGUUUAUUUUUUGGUUUUUAUCAAAAAUACUUGCAAAGCCAUUUCAGAACCCUUUCCUCUUUAUUUUCUUCUACCUGAAACAGAGAGAAAAGCUAUAAAUUAUAAAUAAUGUAAGAUCCUGUCAGGAAAAGCACAGAUUAAAGGUUUUAUAAGAUCAUGACUAAUUCAUUAUUUCUUUCUCUUAUUUCCUUAAGGUCUUAAGAUGGAGCCUCAAAGACUUCCUCAAGACAGUGAAAAAUGCUUUCCAGGCUAGACAAUGUAAUUCUAGGAGAAAUGCUUGGCAAUUGAUUGCAACUGGUAGAUAUUUGAAUAAAUUGUAAAAUAAUUAAUACAGUGACCAUUUAAGAACGACUUUGGGCUCCCAUGGUGGCUCAGACAGUAAAGCGUCUGCCUGCAAUGAGGGAGACCUAGGCUUGAUCCCUGGAGAAGGAAAUGGCAACCCACUCCAGUACUCUUGCCUGGAAAAUUCCAUGUAUGGAGGAGCCUGGUAGGUUACAGUCCAUGGGAUCACAGAGAGUCAGACAUGACUAAGCAACUUCACUGAUUCACUGGUUACUGUGGUAUAGAGGUUAAAAAUAUCCAUCACCCUCAAAAGUUAUAGAUAAGAGUCAGAAGUUUGGUAUUCCAGUUUAAUUCAAUAGUGGCAUAGCUUGAAUAAGUCACUUCAAGAUAAUCAAACUUUCUUCAUAGAGGUUUUUAUGAGAUUUGAAGUAGGUCACAUGUGCUUGUAAAGUGCUGAACAUUUUGCCUAGAAUAUGAAAGAAAAAGUGAAAAUGUUUAGUCAGUCAAUCAUGUCCAACUCUUUGUGAUCCCAUGAACUGUGGCCCACCUGGCUCCUCUGUCCAUGGAAUUCUCCAGGCAAGAAUACUGGAAUGGGUUGCCAUUUCCUUCUUCAGGGGAUCUUCCUGACCCAGGGAUUGAAACCGGGUCUCCUGCACUGCAGGCAGAUUCUCUACUGUCUGAGCCACCAGGAAAGCUCUGCCUGGAACAUGGUUAGGACAUAAUAGUACAUCACUGCUUUCACUCGUGAUACCAUGGGAUAAUGUAAAGAAUUAAUUUAAUCUUCAAUGGAAAGAUCCAAACACAUCUCCGAUGGUAUUUCUCAACUGAUUCUGAAUUCAGCUUCAAAACCCAGCUCUAAAUGGUGCGCCAUCUUCCAUGUUUCUUGGUUUGGUUUUGCAGAGCAAGAAGGGGCCAGCAGUGUAGAUAGCCCAGCAUUGCUAGGGAUUGUGCAGCCCGGAAUUUAGCAAAGUGGUCUGAGUAUACACUUUAGAUAAAAAUAUAGAAAACUAUAUUUUCUUGAGUGAGCUUAUAGACUUUUCAGAAUAAUCGAGAAAGACUUGAUGUGCAUGCUCUACUACAUAUUUGAUUUUUGUCUCAGGAAAAUAAGCAGAAAUAAGAUUAAACUGUUGAACUUACUAAUCUACAGAAGUUUUUUUCCUUUAUCCUGUAAGAAAGUAAUUUAGACAGUCUAGUUGUAGUGUAGAUAAAUAACAAUUAAUAAUUAAAUGUGACUCACCGUAUGCCCAGGAUUUCCAACUAAAUGUUUUAUGUGAAUUGUUAAAAUUAUAUUCUUAAUUGCUUUAUGGCUAGUGCUUGCAGGCAGUCAUCAAGACAAAGACAUUAAACAGCAUUUGCAAUACUAUCUGGAGGACACAUGUUUCAUAGUCUCUCUACACUUUAGAGAAAGCUGUUCUGUUAAAACAUGGUCACUUUCAUCAAAAAUGUACUUGUACACCUAAAGCAUUUCAAGAUGAACUCAAAUGCAAUAUUCAUACAUAAUCUUUUGAAACUUACCAAAACUAAAGUGUACCUUCAAAGACCAAUUUUAAAAUUGGAACAAAGAUUAGCAUAAAUGGUUAUAUAUGUUGCACACAUAUACCAGGCAUUCUGUUGCAUAUUUCAUCUAAUUGAAAUGAUAAUUUUAUAAGUAUUAUUCUGAUUUAACAUAUAAGGUAACCAAGAGCUUGAUAUACUAGAUCAGUAGUUUCCAAAAUGUUGACUAUAUGCUAUUUUAUUAUGCAACAAUUGAUAAAUUAAAAGAAAUAUUUACAAAAGAUGAAAAAUAUAAAGCAUUUGGAAAGCAUAACAAAAACACUCAUGAAUGCACACUGUGAGCAGCAAAACUAGAACCUUGUCACUAAUAUUAAAUCUAUGUGCUUCUUCACUGAUCUGUCCCUCUGUUUCCCAUCAAAGUCAAUUAUAAUCCUAAACUUUGAUUCAUUCUUACAGCUAAAAGAGUAACUACUUUCUGAAACUAGUCUAGACAUUAAUUUAUUUAUAGAUUCUUUUGGUUUGCAUAAAACUGCAGCAAUGUUCAGGCAGUUAUAAGUUUAUUGUAAACAUGGUAACCAUAAUUUUCAAAUUUUGUACUUUCUACUUAGGAUUCAUCUGUUGGUUUUGUGGUUUCAAUUUAGUACUUACACAUGCUUUCUGGACAAUCACUUACUUUACAAUGAUUUGAUCAGAAAACUCAAUUUACCAUUGUCCUUUAAAAUAGCUUUCUUAAAAUUGUUCAAAAUUUGAGGCUGAACAAGAGUAGCAUCAAAUGCACAUUUUCAUAAUUUCUUUUACUUGUUUAUUAUGUUGUCAAAGGGAAUGUUGAGAACGAGGUAAACCAAAAUAACUAUUUUCUGUUGUUUAUGUGCCAGAACCAUCAGAUUACAGAAAUAGCUCAGCUUUUUCUUUGGUUACUCUCAUAGUGUACCUUCUAUUUGCCAGGCAUUGGCUACAGGUAAGCAUUUAAUAUUUCUGUCUGAAUUGUUAAUAAUAUUGAUAAGAUGGACCUUCCUUCCUUCCUCUGAUCAAAUAUUUAUUAAGAAUCUACCAAGUGGUGAAAGCUAUACUGAAAUCUGGAGAUUCAAAUAUGAAAGGAUAUGAUCCAGGAUGGAAGAAACUACACAAUACUAAGAAGAUAUGAAUAUGUUUAUUUUUAAAUUCAUUUAAUAAAUCCUUUACAAAAACCAAUGGAAUCUGGAAUAUAAUGGAGUCCUAAAGAAAUGUAUUCAGGCACUAUGGGUGUCUGGAAUUCUGGAUUGUGACCUUUGGGGAUAGGCAGCUGCUGCUUUGAGCAAGUGUCAGCGGAAGGGAGGAUGGUGGACACCUCCUCUGUCCCAUGUCAUCACCAGCAAUACUCACACACUGAAUUAUAAGGGGGUAGUUGCAGAGCACUUUAUGAAGGCUUGAGAGCAACCAAAGGGAAAGUAUGAGGUAAGCCUGAAAUAGCCUCUCAAACUAGAUAGUAAGGAGAUGUUCAGAAGCUGAGAGGCAUAUGUCACAAGAAUCAUUUCUUCAUGUACUGUAUGAUAAUUAUAAAGGAUCAAUAUUUUAGGAUUUGAAUCCUAAUAUUUUUAAUAUAUGGUAAUUAAAUAUGGAGAGGGGGAUGUGUUCAAACAUUCAUGUGUGUGUUUGAGUACAUAGUAAUAUACAGAGUUUUUCUUUUUUACAGCUUUUUAAAUUAACCUUUUUCUCUCAUUUUCUAGGCGGGGACCAGACUCUACUGGGAAAACUGGGAUGAGCUGAUGGGAGGAAUUUUGUCAUCUUUGUGCUAACCUAGACACAUCACUGAAAGAAUAAUUACAUGAUCGAGAGGCAAUGAUGAAUAUUCUUCCAAAAGAAGUUUUUGCAGAAUAUAUGACCUCUCUUUAAACGUCUGCCUGGCUGAGACCCUACACCAUGCUUUUCUUCACAAAGUAGAUGUACAUAUCUCUCCUUCCAGGGUAGGUCAUCAACCUACCUUUGGCUUUCCCUUGGUAUUUUCCUUUUUCCUUCUUAUUUACUAAUCAGUUCAAUUCAGUUGCUCAGUCAUGUCUGACACUUUGUGACCCCACGGACUGCAGCACAUCAGGCUUCCCUGUCCAUCACUAUUUACUAAUAGUCAAAGCGUUUUUUUCUUUUUAACAUAUGUUAAAAUUUAUUUUAUUUUUGGCUGUGCUGGGUCUUCAGUGGUGUGUGGGCUUUGCUCUAGUUGCAGUGAGCAGGGGUUCCUCUUGGUUGCAGUGCAUUGGCUCUUCAAUGGAUGGCUUCUCUUGUUUCCAAGCAUCGGCUGUAGGUGCGUGGGCUUCAGUAGUUGAGGCGCACGGACCCAAUUGCUCUGCAGCAUGUGGAAUCCUCCCAGACCAGGGAUCGAACCUGCGUCCCCUCCAUUGGCAGGUGGCCUGUAAAGAAGAUGGAGUCUGUAAUCCUCCAUGAGUGGGAAAAAAGCAUUUGAACAUUACACUUCCACAUCCAACGGUUUGUAGGAAAAUCUAUAUUUCUAGGUGUAUCAUGUCAUGUUCAUAAGACAGGAUUAAUAAUCUCAGUUCAUCCCAAAGCACUGAGCAAUCAGGAGAGAACUGGAUAAACAUGAUCCACGAGGAACAGAGCUGAAUGAAGCCGUAGGGAAGAGGCAUGCUUUGCUUAGGCAGGACUUGCACUGAUGACCUGACCAGCCUACUCUUUGUCUGUUUCCUUGCUAUGUCCUUCUCAAAGUAAACUAAGUAAGCAAAAUAAGCUGUGAUUAAACUGGGUUUUUAAUAAUACUCAACUGUCUUUUAGAAUGGGCAGCUGUGUUUAUUUUCAAGUUUUAAAACUUAGAUAUGUAUGUGUGUGCAUGUGCAUAUGCACAUUUUCCUGUUUUUAAAGGUAAUAAAUGGUUAAAAUUUAUUAAAAUGGUAA